UGAAUACGAGACGCUAAGGCGUCGAAGUAGUGUAUGUCAUACUUCCAAGAAAAGCUUGCACUGUCAUAGAUAAAAAACGCCUGUACCAUAACCGACACAGGUGGGUAGGUAGAGUAUACUAAGGGGCGCGAGAUAACUCUCUCUAAGGAACUCGGCAAAAUAACUCCGUAACUUCGGGAGAAGGAGUGCCUUAUUCGUAAGGUUGCAAUAACAAGAUCCAAGCAACUGUUUAUCAAAAACACAGGUCUCCGCUAAGUCGUAAGACGAUGUAUGGGGGCUGACGCCUGCCCAGUGCCAGAAGGUUAAAGAAGUUGGUUAGCAAUUGCGAAGCUGAUAACUGAAGCCCUGGUGAACGGCGGCCGUAACUAUAACGGUCCUAAGGUAGCGAAAUUCCUUGUCGGGUAAGUUCCGACCCGCACGAAAGGCGUAAUGAUUUGGAUACUGUCUCGGAGAGGGGCUCGGUGAAAUAGACUUGUCUGUGAAGAUGCGGACUACCUGCACCAGGACAGAAAGACCCUAUGAAGCUUUACUGUAACUUGAAAUUGAAAUUGGACUUUAUUCGCGCAGUAUAGGUGGGAGGCGUUGAUUAUAAUCUUGUGGGAUUAUUGGAGCCAUCAGUGAGAUACCACUCUUGUAAUGUUAGAUUUCUAACUUUGAAUCAUUAUCUGGUCAAAGAACAGUUUCAGGCGGGCAGUUUGACUGGGGCGGUCGCCUCCUAAACGGUAACGGAGGCGUACAAAGGUUUCCUCUGAACGGUUAGAAAUCGUAUCUAGAGUGUAAAGGCAUAAGGAAGCUUGACUGUGAGACCUACAAGUCGAGCAGGGACGAAAGUCGGUCUUAGUGAUCUGACGGUACUGAGUGGAAAGGCCGUCACUCAACGGAUAAAAGUUACUCUAAGGAUAACAGGCUGAUCUCCCCCAAGAGUUCACAUCGACGGGGAGGUUUGGCACCUCGAUGUCGGCUCAUCGCAUCCUGGGGCGGUAGUACGUCCCAAGGGUUGGGCUGUUCGCCCAUGAAAGCGGUACGCGAGCUGGGUUCAGAACGUCGUGAGACAGUUCGGUCCAUAUCCGGUGUAGGCGUUAGAAUAUUGAGAGGAGCCUUCUUUAGUACGAGAGGACCGAGAAGGACAUACCUCUGGUGUACCAGUUAUCGUGCCAACGGUAAACGCUGGGUAGCUAUGUAUGGAGUGGAUAACCGCUGAAAGCAUCUAAGUGGGAAGCCCACCUCAAGAUAAG
rnacentral:rRNA from 1 species